rnacentral:lncRNA from 1 species
GUAUUGACUCCCCAGAUGAACACACAGGUGAUUGAGGUUAUGGUCUCAUUACCACGAGGUAUUGUGUCCAUCUCCCCUGGGGAUCGAGCAGAUCCGGUGUUGACGAGGGCGAGAGGGUCUGUUUGUGUGUUUCCACAGGACCAGAUGGAACCUCUUUGGGUGCCGGAGAGAUUGGUGAGACACUGCAAGAAUGAGGCUCCUGAUCCAGUUGCCCCUGUGGAUGUGGUGGAUGAUCCCACAAGCACAAAGGAUGGAGCAGAGAUGGGAGAUCCUUUCGGUAUUCCAGAAGCCGAUACCAGCUCGACAUGA